CCUACGGGUGGCAGCAGUGGGGAAUAUUGGGCAAUGGAGGAAACUCUGACCCAGCAACGCCGCGUGAAUGAUGAAGGUCUUCGGAUUGUAAAGUUCUUUUCUAAGGGACGAAAAAGGUGACGGUACCUUAGGAAUAAGCCUCCGCUAACUACGGGCCAGAAGCCGCGGUAAUACGUAGGAGGCAAGCGUUAUCCGGAAGGACUGGGCGUAAAGGGUGCGUAGGUGGUUUGACAAGUUGGUAGCGUAACUCCUGGGCUCAACCUCGGCACUACCACGACAACUGUCGGACUUGAGUGCGGGAGGGGCAGAUGGAAUUCCUAGUGUAGCGGUGGAAUGCGUAGAUAUUAGGAGGAACACCGAUGGCGAAGGCGAUUUGCUGGACUGUAACUGACACUGAGGCACGAAAGCGUGGGGAGCAAACAGGAUUAGAUACCCGUGUAGUC
rnacentral:rRNA from 1 species